GUGGAUGUAGCUCAGCUGGCAGAGCGUCUGACUGUGGCUCAGAAUGCCGUGGGUUCGAUCCCCAUCAUCCACC
rnacentral:tRNA from 2 species